AUUUCCUUGUCAGCUACUCAGUGCACUUCUUGCACAGGCUUUUUUUUUUUUUGAGAUGGAGUCUUGCUUUAUCACCCAGGCUGGAGUGCAGUGGCGUGAUCUUGGCUCACUGCAACCUCCGCCUCCCGGGUUCAAGCAAUUCUCCUGUCUCAGCCUCCUGAGUAGCUGGGAUUACAGGCGCCUGCCACCUCGCCCAGCUAUUUUUGUAUAUUUAGCAGAGACAGAGUUUUACCAUGUUGGCCAGGCUGGUCUCAAACUCCCAACCUCAGGUGAUCUGCCCGCCUCGGCCUCCCAAAGUGCUGGGAUUACAGGCGUGAGCCACCAUACCCGGCCACGUUUGGUUUUACUUUAGCCUAGAAACCUGCUCGCGGCUGACUGGGGGGUGCUCUGUGGUCCCAUCUUCCUAACACAGCUCUGUCUUCUCUGUGGGGUGGCAGCUGCUGCGUUUGUUUGCCUGCUUUUGUGUGUCCAGGUCGACCCCACCUGGAUCCGAUCAUCCACCACCGUAGGUUGCUGGAACCUCCCAGUGCAGCCUGGCCUGGGGGCAGAGGCCGGCCCCGCUGUCCCUCGGGGUUCGCUGUGCUGACUCCCUGCUUCUGGGCCUGCCUUUCUCUUUCUUGGUUUUCUUUAUAAUUUUGUGGUUUGGAGAAGUCCUGCCUCCCGUCGUUUCCUGGGCCAGUCCCGGGAGGUAGCACGUUGAGGCCUUUCAUGUCUGAAAUGUCUGUCGCUUCCCUCCGCCGGAGGGGCAGCCUGGCCUCCGUGGUGUCACAGGUGCAGAGCCUGCCCCUGAACGUCCCUGCAGCUUUUGCGUGACUGAUCCUCUGUGUGCCGUCAGCUUUGCUUGAGGUUUUAGGGUCUUUGCUCCCUCCCAGCUGUACCUGGCUGUGCUGGGGGCCUUUUUAGGCUUUGGGCUUGUGUCCUUCAUCGUGGGGUCAUCCUCUCGUGCUCUUUGUUAACUUCCCCAUCAUCAUCCCUUUCUGUUGCUCCUGUUAAUCAGAUGUUGAUCCUCCCAGAUGAGGGCGGCUUUUUUUUUUUUUUUUUUUUUUUUUUGAGACAGUUUCACUCUUGUUGCCCAGGCUGGAGUGUAGUGGCGUGGUCUUGGCUCACUGCAACCUCUGUCUCCCAGGUUCAAGUGAUUUUCCUGUCUCAGCCUUCUGAGUAGCUGGGAUUACAGGUGCACACCACCACGCCCAGCUAAUUUUUUGUAUUUUUUUAGUAGAGACGGGGUUUCACCAUGUUGGCCAGGCUGGUCUUGAAUUCCUGACCUCGUGAUCCGCCCGCCUCGGCCUCCCAAAGUGCUGGGAUUACAGGCGUGAGCCACCGUGCGCAGCCCCUUGCUGGAUGUUUUCAUCCGUGUGGAAGGGGAUAAAGCGUGCCCCAUGGUCACACCACCCCCUCCCGUGGCCUGGGGUCCCCACCUUCCUCCUGACCUCUUCUGUCUCACGGUCCCCAGGCUCCUGUGCUGCUGUGCCCCUCAGGGUCCUCCUGCCUCCCGAGCCUCCCUGCUCCACAUGGCCCCUGCCCAGCCCUCUCCAUCCCUCUUGAAGGUAGUUCCACAGCCAGACACCCUCCCGCCCCCUGCUGGCCUCUCCUCUAGGGCUUGCUACCCACCCCCAUCCCCUGCUUCCACUGCCACCUGAUGUGUCCACGAUGCCCCAGGCCGCCUCCCCACCUCUGUGGCCCCUGAGCCUGCACGGAGGAAAGGGUAUCCUCUGGGCAAGGCACAGCCACCCGCCAGGUCCUCCCUCUCACCACAUCCAGGACAGUGGACGCUGCUCCCUGCCUCUUCCUCACAGUCCUGGGGUCACCCCUCUCAGCCCCAUCCAGCUCCUGAGCAGCUUUGUCCCCAGAGGGCCCCGGGUCAUUCCUCUGACCAACCAGGCACGGCGCACCCUGCAUGCAAGCCUGGGCGGGUGCUGGGGAUGGACGAGUGACGCAGCAGACACUGCCUCCCUGAAGGCAUGGCAAGGAGGCCCCGAGUUCCUGAAGACGCCCCUGGGGGGCAGCUUCCUGGUGUACGAGUCCUUCCUCUACCGGCGGGAGAAGGCGGCCGGGGAGAAGGUGUAUUGGACCUGCCGGGACCAGGCCCGCAUGGGCUGCCGCAGCCGCGCCAUCACCCAGGGCCGGCGGGUCAUGGUCAUGCGCAGGCACUGCCACCCACCGGACCUGGGCGGCCUGGAGGCCCUGCGGCAGCGGGAGCACUUCCCCAACCUGGCGCAGUGGGACAGCCCAGAUCCUCUCCGGCCCCUGGAGUUCCUGAGGACUUCCCUGGGGGGCAGGUUCCUGGUGCACGAGUCCUUCCUGUACAGGAAGGAGAAGGCGGCUGGGGAGAAGGUGUACUGGAUGUGCCGGGACCAGGCUCGGCUGGGCUGCCGCAGCCGCGCCAUAACCGAGGGCCACCGCAUCAUGGUCAUGCGCAGCCACUGCCACCAGCCUGACCUGGCAGGCCUGGAGGCCUUGAGGCAACGGGAGCGGCUCCCUACCACGGCCCAGCAGGAGGACCCAGAAAAGAUUCAAGUUCAGCUGUGCUUCAAGACAUGUUCUCCUGAAAGCCAGCAGAUUUAUGGGGACAUCAAAGACGUCAGACUGGAUGGCGAGUCCCAGUGAGGCGAUGUGGGCAGAGGAGCUCUGAGCCGCCCACCCAAGGUGGCUUCACAUCCACACAGGCACUUCCCAUCCACUUAGGUUUGGCUUAGCAGAAACUUCUUUUCAUUCUUCCAAAGCAUCGAUGGUCUUCGCGUCUCCUCAGGAGGUCUCCCAGGAGGAAUUCUUGGAUGGUGUCCUCGUGUCGGCGGAGAACAGUGCUCAGAGCUGGCGCUUGCAGACGCAGCUGUCAUGGGGCAGGGCGGUGGCGCCUUCCUGACCUUUGGAAGACAUGACAAAGCUGCCUGGACACGGACGCCCCUGCUGUACGGCCACAGCACCCCUGGGUUUGCAGAGCACGCAGCCUUCCUAGGGCUUUCCACCUGGCGAGGCCCCGCUCUGCUCAGCACGGUGCAAAGUGAAUGCCGCUGUCUUGGAGCCUGGGCACGUUUGGGGAAGUUCCUGCUUCAAACUGAGCUGCCCCGCAUAGGCCAGGUCAACCCACACCAAUCUUUUCUGGACAGCUGCUGGGUAGGCCUUCCUGGUCUCUGGCCGCCUGCUGCCAGGGUGUGGCCAUCCCCAGCAACCGGAGCCGGCCAAACCAGAGGCCUCGCUCUGCGCUCCACACUUUGCUUUCUGUGCUCCUUCCAAGUUAAAUUAAAUCCCCUCUCCACGAUUCCCACGGCAGGCGUCAUUCCCCGAGACGGGAGCCAGUCCAGGGGUCAGCAGGAGCCAGCGCUGGGCACACGUGCCCUGGCUGAGGCCAGCGGCAUCCUGGGUGGCCCAGGUCCAUCCUGGGCAGCAAAGGCGUGUCCCCUUCUGUCAGACAGCUUCACAGAGUGUGGCUUCACCAGUCAGAGGGAGCAGUCCGGAGAGGCAAGAUGACCCCACCGGGACUGCAGAGCCUCCUGCUUACUAAUAAGGACCUGUCCGCAGCCGCGAGGUCCUUCACUCCCACCCUGUAAUUGUGGGGAGAGUGCCAGCAACAGGCCUGUCCCCUGGCAAGUUGGCCACGGAACCCACCAUGCACUGCAAGGCUGUGACAGCCUGGGCACCCCUGCUUCUCCUCUGCUUGUAUGGUUCCCCCAAUAAAUCCUAUUUUCCAUCUCAC
rnacentral:sRNA from 1 species